CUCCCUUCUGCUAAGACAGAGAAAAAGGUACAGAAACAGACAGUCUGGAUGACCUGAGCUGGAAGUCACUCCCAAUAUCUCAGAAGACCUAUGGAAAUCCAUCCCUUUAAAAAGUUAUCUGCAAAUGCCUGGGAAUUUAGCAGAUGGACUGGAAGGCACCAGGAGACCAGGUGGCUGAGAAGUCCUUCCAAAUGGGAGCUGGCAGAGCCAAGCCCUGAGCUCUGCCCAUCGUCCAGUUCUGGCCAGAGGCCCUGGGCAGGCAGGGCCUGAAAGGCAAGGAGAGGCCUGUUUAACCCGAUGGAGGGGAGUGAAUGCCCACAGCAGAGAUGGCGCGGCAUGCGGGUCUUUGCCCUGCCCUUGCCUGUGACAAAUAUGGCCAAUCAGCCCAUGACAAACAUGACCAAUUGAUUCAUUCACUGUACUUUUCCCAAAGACACCCAAUCACAGCUUCGAAAUCUUUCAUAGCAGAGACCUUUGGGCAGCCACCAGCACCAACAGGACUUGAAAACUCUUUGUCAGCCCUGACAGGGCUCCAGGCUGGGCUUUUGGCUGUGCAGUCAGGACUCCAGGGGGUGGCUCUGUGGAAGGUGCUCACAUACACACACUCAGGCUGUGAGCCUCCUCCAAACACAUACAACCAGUCACUCUGAGAAGUAAGGGAAGCCACCUCUGCCUUUUGACGGUUGCUUCAAUACAAAUUUCGGUUUUUGGUUUUGAGGGUAGGAUUUGAGACAGAGUCUCGCUUUGCUGCCUAGGCUAGAGUGCAGUGGCUCAGAUCAUAGCUCACUAUAGCCUUGAACUCCUAGGUUCAAGCCAUUCUUGUGCCUCAGCCUCCUGAGUAGCUAGGACUAUAGGUGCUCACCACCAUGCCCAGCUCACAUUUUCAUUUUUGUAGAGACGGGGUCUCAGUAUGUUGUCCAGGCUGGUCUCCAGCUCCUGGCCUCAAGAGAUCCUCCUGCCUUGGCCUUCUAAAGUGCUGGCAUUUAUAGGCAUGAGUCACUGCACCUGGCUCAAAGGUUUUUUACAUUUCAAAUCAGUGUAUUCAAAUGUAUGACAAUAUACCUAGCAAUAUGAGUUUUGACCAGAGGCCCCAGCCCCCGCCCCUGCACAUAUAGGCAAGGAUCAUACUGAUUGCCUCACACUCUGGUCCUCUUGCAUUUACAACAGGGAUCAGCUCCUCGUAGGCACUUACUCACUCAACAAUUGUUUGUCGGCCAUUUACCAGGUGCAGAGACUAUUCCAGAUGCUGGGGACAUAAUGGAGAAACACAGAUGUAGUUCCCUGUUCUUACAGAGUUCAGAGUUAAGUGAGCUGCUCCAGGUCCUGGACCUUGCGGCUCAGCUCCUCAGCUGGUGGGAAGCUCUUGCCCACUUUCAUGAAGAGAGCCGCGAUCUUGUUGCUGCGCAGGAAGCCAGCUGCCCACCGCCGAAGCCCAUGUAGGACGCAGGCCUCCACAGCCACUGCAAGGACAUGGUGGUCAGCAGGCCCCACCCUGCCCAUGCUCCCCGAUGCCCAGCAGGGCCUGGAGCAUCAGACAGAGACCACUUGGAGAGCCAGGAUCCCCAGAAUCACAAAAUUCAGGACAGUGGUCAUAAGGAAAAAGUUUUAGCUGGGGCUGGGUUUGAACCCGCCACCUCCAGCAUAUGGGGCCAGAGCCCUCCUCCUUUGAGCCACAGGAGCCGCCCAUCACCACCUCCCUUUUGCUCUGUAUCUGAGGUCCUCAAACCCUGGGCUGCAGACUGGUACCAGUCUGUUGCCUGUUAGGAACCAGGCUGCACAGCAGGUGAGCAACAGUCUGAGGACCAGUCAACCUGCCACCACCCAGAAGGAGCAGUGUUCUACAAACAGGCCUCCCCUCACUACCCAACGUUCCUCAGACAUUCCCUGAUGAGAAGGUCCCCUCAAUGUGUGAUUUUGGAGCAUUCACCUGGGGGCAUCUGGGCAUGAAAGUGCUUCAGGCUAAAAUUACCAGGCAAACGUCCACUGGAGAGGGUGCAGCUGGGAAGAACGCACCUCCCCGCCCCGCCUCUUUCCAUUCCCAGAGAAAUCAACCAGCAUGUUGCAUAUCCCCAGCCCACACCCUGGAGACCAGCCAGCUCUCUCCUGGGUGCUCUGUCCACUGUGUGGAGCUGGACUCCCAUGGCAACAUGCCCCAUCUUCACAGACCCACAGCUCUCACAGGAGAGGAGGAUGCACACAGACCCUCUGGAAGACUGCCCAAACGUGGGAUGGAAGGAGGCGUCUGGGCAGCUGUGGAAAAAUAAGAAAUGAAAUUCCCAGGAGGUUGCUUAAAACACACUGGUAAACAAGAAAAGGGACUAAUCCACUUUCCCCUGACCUUAGAAGGCAAAGCAGCCCAAUAUUGUCUAAAGGUAACUUCAAAUACUGUUCAAAUUCUGUCUCCACCUCUUGCCAGCUGUGUGGCCUUGGGAAAGUCACUACACCUCUGUGUGCUUAAUUUAUGGUAAUUAUCUAUAAAUCCGGACAAUAUGUAUGACUUCCUCUCCCAAGGUGUUAUUUUUUUCUGACAUGAAAUAAAUUAAUGCAUAUAAAGCACAUAACAUAAUGUCUAGGACAUGGCAGAACUUUCUGGAAUUUUCUGUACCUGUCCUGUCC